GUUUUGUGCGAAACAUGCAAGGUAAAUUAUGAUUUCAUAAAACCUGUAUGGACCAUGAAUUUCAAUCAGUAAGAAAAAUAAUUGUAAUGAAAAUAAUUUAGCCAUGUGGGUAAGAUAUCCUGUGGCAACUAUUUCAAGAAUGAGGUGUUACAAAUGUUAUACUGUACUGUGUCUGUUCGUUUGGGAAUGAUCAUUUUAUUCUUCUUAUAAACCAAUUAAAGAUAUAAAAAUUAA